UACAACCAUAUCAUGUUGAAACAUUGGUUCUCAUCUGAUCAUCAAAGUUAAGCAAUGUUAAGCCUGGUCACCUAGAUGGGUGACUGCUAGGGAAUACCAGGUGCUGUU